UGGAGAGCAAGCUGAUGUUUUUGGUGGUUUGUGUGAUUGGUUGUGCAGUGUCUUGCAUUAAGGCUGAUGGACACCUAUCAACGCCAACAAAUUUAACCUCCAACAUCACCCGCAAUGAGUGUGGAAAAACCAAACUAUGUUUGGACAACCCUAAAGGAUGUGACCCUUCAGGCAGCUCUCAGUGUUUCUUCACCUCGGUACAGAUUAAUUUAACCACCCUCAAUCUGAAGGUUGAGCUCAGUGGCAACUCCAGCGGUUACAUUGCUUUAGCAGCUGGAGUGACAUCUAGUGUGGUUCAGGGCCUCAAUAUCAUCUUUGUCUGUGGCAAUAAUAAUGGCAGGUUCUUCUUCCGGACUGCAACACUCUUAAAUAAUACACUGCUGACAACAAAUGUACCCAAUGUAAGCAAUAUCCAGGGUUCAAUACAACCAAGCUUGAUUCAGUGUGUUUUCAGCAUCCCCAUUGAUGCAAACACUAUCAACUUCCUAAACAAUGUCAAUGUCAAAAAUGUCAACAUUAGCAACAUUGCUAAUUCCCAGCUGAAUGUUUUCCUUGACAUCUUCCAGGGUUCAACCAAUGGAACUGUUCUGGGAGAACCAAAAAGUGUAUUUGGGUCCUCUGUUCCAGUGAAUCUAGCUGAUGUCAACUCUACUAAUGUUGUAAGCCCCACAGCUAAUUCAAAAGCCAGCAUCUCACUCAACAGCCUACUGAGUCAUGCUGCAAUUUGCCUACUCAGUAUCUUCUUGCAUCUGAUCUGAGGGGCCUGAGAGAGACCUGAAGACUAAUCGUGCUGUGGGUGGAGUAGUAUAGAUAUGCACUAGCAUCAGCAUGUUUUCACUGGUUUCUUUCUUUAUUUGAUUCUUAGAUUAUUCACAAAUAUAUAGGAAACCCAUGUAUGUUUGACAUAUACAGGGUGUUGGACACAUAUAAUAAAGCCUAAUUAAUCUUUUAAUGAUCCUCUAACAUUAUACUGACAGUGGAAAUGGUCCUGAAAACUUUUUAAAGUUACAUUUAAAGCUUAUUAACAAACAUAAUAACAUUAAAAUACAGUGUUAUUUUUUUUCUGGGGUGAUAUUAUCUAUUAUACACACACUGGAUAAUAUCUUCACAGCUCUUUUUGCAUAAACACCAUUUUAAGAAUCUCUGUCUACCACAAAACAAUAUAUAUUGCAGAGCUAAUUGAGAGUGGUGUGGUGGUUCUCCUGUGGUUGAUUCUAACAAUAUUAACAAGUAGUAAUAAAUAAAUGAUAACCAUGUAUUCUGGAAGAUCUCUUAGACUGAACAUUUAAAGGGGUCAUCGGAUGCUACAUGCACUUGUACAAGUUGUUUGAACUGAAAUGUGUGUUGGCAGUGUGUGUACACAACCACCAUAUAAUGAUAAAAUUCCACCCAGUGUUUUAUUUUUUAAUCUACUAAAAUCUUUACCCCUUUCUCAAAUCGAGCCGAUCUCAGAUGCCUGUCUGUGUGACGUCACAAAAACAGGCCCCUAAUAAUGUGCUAAUUAGCAAGUUUCACAAUGAAUGCGGCUAAAGUGAACAGUCCCUCAGAGAGCGGCUUGGAAGAGAGGGGCGGGGUCAGCAGAACUCAUUAACAUUUAAAGGAAAAUGCUACAAAAUGGCUUGCUCUAAUAAGAGCUGUUUUUGACAGGGUAAAAAAUUUGUUUUUUACACUACCAUUGAGAAAUUUUAACCAAACUAUGUUACAGACUUUUCAUUAAGACCCUAAAGAAUCAUAUCAACUUGUGGAAAAUGGGCAUCCGAUGACCCCUUUAAAAACAAUAAAAUAGAUUUAAAAUUGCAAUUAGAUUAUGAUAAAUUUGCAACUAUCCUUCCAAGUGUGAUAAACUGUUACACUGAUAAAGAUGCAGUGUCUCAUGAUUUCUCUGCUGUACAUAAAAACCUUUCAGUUGUAGUAACCUCACCUCACU
ensembl:lncRNA putative ferric-chelate reductase 1